CCCCUCUCUAAAAUGGUUCGGAAUCUCUCUCUACAACCCUGAUUUAGUUUUCGAUGGCAAAGAGGUCCGUCAAAUAGCCGGUUAAAAUCUCAAACGAACAGGUCGAGGAGAGUCGGGGAGAGCGAGGAAGAUGACGGCAUCACACUUUCAAAUCUUCGGCGGGGAAGAGCUCCUUCAAGUUACGAUUUUCAAAUCUGACCUCCAUUUUAGGUGUUAUUUUCAUUGUUCUAUUACUGACUGCAGUAUUUGUGUCUACAUUCUAGAUCUUCUCAAAUAUAGAACCAUGGGACCUUUACAUGUUCACUGUAUGCUGGAUUUAAUGUUAGCCCGAGGGUGUAUUUGAGAAAAUUAAAAUUAAAAUUAAAAUUCUAGAAAUUGAAGGAUUUAUGUAAUACCUAUUUUGUAUAUGCACAAUUUGCCCAGAUACAUAGUUGCAAUUUUUGUCUUGGUGCUGCAACUUCGAAUUUAUGUAAAUGUAAUUUGUCGUCAAUUAGGUUGGAACAAUAUGUACCUGCAAUUUUUAAAUAUACGCACAAUUUGAAGGAAAUCGUAGGGUUUAUAUAAAAGUCCAAUUCACAGGAAAUAUCACUGUCUGGGACUGCACAUGUUUUUGGUUGAGUUUCACACCAACCUGCUUGUUAGAUUUAUUCUUUUGUUUUGUUCAUGCUUUCAAUUUCUGAACAAGUGGUUUUUUUUUAUUGGAUUAGGAUUGUUCCAUGGCCAAGAAGAACAUAGGAAUAUGUCAUUCUUGUAGGGUGGCAAGACAAUAAAGGGAUGUUGUUCCAUUGUUGCACCCGCGAUUGUAGGCUUUUCAAGUUUUCUAACGUUCCGCCCUACAAAGAGUAUCCAUUGCAAGGUGAAUCAAGUGGUACUACCAACGAAAGUGAACCGGUCGACGAUUUGUCCCGUAUGUUGAGAAUGUGUGCAAAAAUAACCGAGGAGAGAAACGUGGAGAUUUCAUUCAACUUAUUGUACUUAAAAUUCCUGUGAUGGUUGUCAUAGAAGCACAUUUUUUGUUAACAUGUCUUGAUCUUGAACGGUUUGUGUUGUAUGUAGUGAACUAUUACAAGUGUUCUCAAUCUAGUUUUUCAUAAUUUCUAUGGAUACACCCAAUUAUGCAAUUUUACAAUUCAUGGCAUUGCUGC
rnacentral:lncRNA from 1 species